rnacentral:lncRNA from 1 species
UUCGGUAAGGACAGGCUCCCUGUGUGGGAUGCCCCAAGACACCAAGCAGGCAGAUUUGUGACCUAGAAGAUGUUUUCCUACCACCAGGCUUGUCAAGCACCCCUAGACCACCUAUCUUUCCCACCUGUGGGAGUAAGGGGCUUGGGGGACACCCUCACGUUGCCCAGAGCGGGCUGCAUGCCUGAACGGGCCCCGGGAACCGCCCGCCUAGCUCUCCACAGAAAUCUACCUCUCCAGCCAGUGGCAACUCAGGACAUCUAAGGGGUCGGAAUUGGUUUGGCCAAGAGGCUGCGGACCCAGAAGAGGCCACGAGGAGGGCAGAGCGCAGGAAGGACCGACAGAAGCGCCAGGAGCAGCAAGCCGAAGCUGGGGGAGGGGAAGCGGGGAGCACCCAGCCUCUUGAGUAAGGGUCCCAUUACUUCCGAAGUCCCGCAGCCUCUUGGGGGGGGGGCGCCCACCCACAGGUGGCCCAGCUUGGAUAAAGGGUCUUGCGCGCGCGUGGGCCUCUCUCCUUUGCAUCCUGCAAGAGAUGUGUGGUGCAACCCAGGUGCCCCCCCCUCCAGCUUGAUUGGGGACCAGGCCUGGAGUGCGCGGCCCAGCUCGAUCCUUCCCUUUUGCAGCUGGGCACGGUCUCCCCGCGUCGCCUCUAGGUUCCCCGUUGGGGGCCUGGGGCGUCAGAGCGCGCGCGGCCGGGUACUCACUCCAUCUCCCGCGAGGUCCGUGGGCGGUGCAGCGCGGGGCAGGGCCGACUCUAGGGCCUGGCGGCCGGGGCUGUGCGGCGCGGGGGCGGCACCGGGGCGGGCAUCGUCCCCAGCGCGCCGGGUAUUGUCCGGGCGCGGCCGGGUGGGCUCGUGUGCGCGCCGCCUCUGCGCGUUCCCUGUAUCCCUCGCGCCCGCGCGCGCCUCCUGCUGGCCGCAGACGCUCCGCACCGCGCAGCUGCACCCCAAAACGUCGCAGAGAUCCCGGACCCAGUCACCCUGAGUUCUCCAUGGAAUGAAAGGAGUCCUGAUAUAGUUUAGGGCCCCAAGUCGGACCCCCGACCCGCGAGAGAGCCACAGCAGCAGCUCUUGAGGGGGUUCAGUUCCUGCACGAGGCCCAGCCUGGGCCAAUGGCUGGAUAUGGUUUACUGAACUCAGGAGUUUAGUCAGCCCUGUGAUGCUGCCAGACUGAGCAAAGGGGUAUUGGGUGAACUUAGACUUUGUUCCCAGGGCACUGGAGAGCCACAGUAAGAAAGACAUAGGGCCUGUCUCCCUCAGAGAGUGCACCAUGUGACUUUCUGCCUGGACUGCAGCUCCUUGGCCUUAGACACUCACUGGGCCUUGGGGCAGCGCAGGGAGAGUGAGUCACAAAAUUCGCUUCUCUGAUAGAGUCGUUGUCCUUUGGUUUGGUUUUGGAGACUGUAUGCUCACUUUGUGUGCACGUGGAGGUCCCAGGACAUCUUCCACUGCCUUCCUGCCAAGCCACCCACUUUCCCUUGGACUUCUUUUGAAAUUAUGUAGACUAAUAUGUAGACUAGGCUGUCCUGAAAGUACCCACUGCCUUAGCCAGGCCUGCACCACCACACCUAUCUUCCCUGGGUUUGGAUCUGGGCUCACCGGUAUAGUGGUGUGUGAUUCUGUGUCUGUUUCUCAGCCUUUUCACCUCUCUGCCCAUCCCACCUCCUCAGAUGCUAGAGGGCUAACGGUGUCGUCUCACCUGGACACACUGAGGGUCAGGCGAACUUUUCAGAUAAAAGGCCAGAUAGUAAACACUGCCAGCAUUGUUGGCCAGGUGGUUUGUGUUGCAAGGACAGUACACUUAUCAUGAACACCAGAGGAGCUGGAGGAGAUCUGUGAAGUGGUUCUGUGUCAAUAAAACUUUAUC